rnacentral:rRNA from 1 species
UACGAAGGGUGCAAGCGUUAAUCGGAAUUACUGGGCGUAAAGGGUGCGUAGGCGGUUGUUUAAGUCUGUCGUGAAAUCCCCGGGCUCAACCUGGGGAUGGCGAUGGAUACUGGCGAGCUAGAGUGUGUCAGAGGAUGGUGGAAUUCCCGGUGUAGCGGUGAAAUGCGUAGAGAUCGGGAGGAACAUCAGUGGCGAAGGCGGCCAUCUGGGACAACACUGACGCUGAAGCACGAAAGCGUGGGGAGCAAACAGG